UACGUAGGGUGCAAGCGUUAAUCGGAAUUACUGGGCGUAAAGCGUGCGCAGGCGGUUUUGUAAGUCUGUCGUGAAAUCCCCGGGCUCAACCUGGGAAUUGCGAUGGAGACUGCAAGGCUAGAAUCUGGCAGAGGGGGGUAGAAUUCCACGUGUAGCAGUGAAAUGCGUAGAGAUGUGGAGGAACACCGAUGGCGAAGGCAGCCCCCUGGGUCAAGAUUGACGCUCAUGCACGAAAGCGUGGGGAGCAAACAGGAUUACGAAACCCCGAGUAAGUCCGAGACCCA
rnacentral:rRNA from 1 species